rnacentral:rRNA from 1 species
UUUCGAAUCAUUCACAAUGGGCGCAAGCCUGAUGGUGCAACGCCGCGUGGGGGAUGACGGCCUUCGGGUUGUAAACCCCUGUCACUGAGGACUAAACCUGCGUGAAGAGCGCAGCUGAAUUAACUCAGAGAGGAAGAGGUGGCUAACUCCGUGCCAGCAGCCGCGGUAAUACGGAGACCUCGAGCGUUACUCGGAUUUACUGGGCGUAAAGGGUCCGUAGGUGGACCUGUAUGUCGGGGGUGAAAUCUGGCGGCUCAACCGUCAACAUGCCUCCGAAACUACAGGUCUAGAGGACUGGAGAGGUAAGCAGAAUUCCAGGUGUAGCGGUGAAAUGCGUAGAUAUCUGGAGGAAUACCAACGGCGAAGGCAGCUUACUGGACAGAUCCUGACACUGAGGGACGAAAGCGCGGGGAGCGAAAGGGAUUAGAUACCCCCGUAGUCC